UAGUUUAUCUAAAUAAGAGGUGAUGCAU
rnacentral:sRNA from 1 species